CCGCGCACGUGGCGGGCUGUGCGGGACCGGCGAGCGGCAGCCUGGCUGCGUAGCGCCAGCGCCUGCGGGGCCGGGAUGAUGAGCCUGACCUCGGCGCCCGGUUCCCGGCCGUUGCGCCAGGCCGUGACCCCCGCGGGCCGGCGGACGGAAUCUCCUGUAGUGGAGCUGAACGUUGGGGGUGAGUUCUAUACCACCACCUUGGGCACCCUGAGAAAACUCCCAGGCUCAAAGCUGGCAGAGAUGUUCUCCAGCUCCUCCAAGGCCUGCCUGGACGCGGAGGGACGCUUCUUCAUCGAUCGCUGCGGCACCUAUUUUGGACCCAUCCUGGAAUAUCUGCGCAGUGGGCAGCUGCCCACACAGCACAUCCCCGAGGUGUACCGUGAGGCUCAGUUCUACGAAAUCAAGCCUUUAAUCAAACUCUUGGAGGACACGCCACAGAUCUUUGGUGAGCAGGUAGCUCGGAAGCAGUUUUUGCUGCAGGUGCCAGGCUACAGCGAGAACCUAGAGCUUAUGGUGCGCCUGGCGCGUGCUGAGGCCGUGGCGGCGCGCUGCUCUAGUGUUCUGGUGUGCCUGGUACAGAACGAAAAGGAUGAUGCAAACUGCGCGGACGCCCUGCGCUCCCUGGAGGCGGACAAGAGGUCAGUGGUCAAAUUCGGGCCUUGGAAGGCAGCCCUGGAUAUCAGGGACCUCCUGGACUGCAUGAACAUGGACAUUAAGGCCCAAGGGUACCAGGAACUAAGACUCCCCACCCAGGUGGAGGAUGGAAUGAUGAUGUCGACCCUCCUGACUUCAAUCAACUAAAGCCUGGACUCUGUUGACCUCUGCCCCAAUUCUACGAUGAAUUCUCCUCUGCUCAAGCCCCUUCAUGAAUAGGUGAACCAGUUUUCCAGUAACGGCUUGACCAAGAGGAGAGUGCAGGCAACAUACAGAUGGCAAAUAUUGUGAACAGCAAUGGAU